UUGGAUUGAGACAACGUACAAACCUUAUCGAUAAACAAUUGGAGGGCAAGUCUGGUGCCAGCAGCCGCGGUAAUUCCAGCUCCAAUAGCGUAUAUUAACGUUGUUGCAGUUAAAAAGCUCGUAGUUGAAAUGAAGGGUGGUUGUGUAAUGAAUACAUUCGUGUAUUUUGUUAUUCUACUACCCUCCUUCUAAAUUCGAUAUAUGAGUAUUAAUUUACUUGUAUAUGGUUUUAGACCUUUACUGUGAGAAAAUUAGAGUGUUCAAAGCAGGCAUUUGCUUGAAUAUAUUAGCAUGGAAUAAUCAUGUAUGAUUUUCAUGAUGUAUUUGAUUGGUUUGGUUCAUGAGAAUAAGAUUAAAAGGGACAGUUGGGGGUAUUCAUAUUCAAUAGUCAGAGGUGAAAUUCUCGGAUUUAUGGAAGAUGAACAAGUGCGAAAGCA
rnacentral:rRNA from 1 species